rnacentral:rRNA from 1 species
GACGAACGCUGGCGGCGUGCCUAACACAUGCAAGUCGAGCGGGGUUGAGGCGAGAGGUAACUCGAGCUUCUACCUAGCGGCGGACGGGUGAGUAACGCGUGGGCAACCUGCCUCAAGGUUUGGGAUAACAGCCCGAAAGGGCUGCUAAUACCGGAUAUGCCUAUGGCCUCGCAUGGGGCUAUGAGCAAAGGGGAAACCCGCCUUGAGAUGGGCCCGCGUCCCAUCAGCUAGUUGGUGAGGUAACAGCUCACCAAGGCGACGACGGGUAGCCGGCCUGAGAGGGUGACCGGCCACACUGGGACUGAGACACGGCCCAGACUCCUACGGGGGGCAGCAGUGGGGGAUCUUGCACAAUGGGCGAAAGCCUGAUGCAGCGACGCCGCGUGAGCGAAGAAGGCCUUCGGGUUGUAAAGGCUCUGUCUGGAGGGACGGAAACAAAAUAGACGGUAAUCUCCGGACGGAAGGCCACGGCUAACUAACGUGCCAGCAGCCGCGGUAAACUACGUCU